CAAACCCUGAAAGGGAAGCCUCUUGUAGCAGCCCUCUCAUUCCCACCUCCAAGCGUUUGCCGAGCUGCUAGGUGGAGUCCGCGCGGCGGAGCCCGAGUGCACUCCAGAUCCGGGUUUUACCUGCCACCCCCUUCCCCCCGCGCGAGCCCCCUCCCCAGCUCUCGGCGCUCUUGGCGCUCGCCAGCCCGCGGCUCAUUCUGGCCUCGGCUCGGGCCCCGGCUGCGUCCGCCGCGCGCAGGCUGCACGGCCCCGGCGCGCCCGCGCUCCGACCCGCUCUCGGCGCGUCGCCGGGUCUCCGGCUCGCCCGGCACCGCUCGCCCCAGUUCCCGGGAGCGGGGAUGCAGAUGCUGCCGCUGGUCCGGGUGGGCGCCGCCGCUGCCGCUGCUGGUUUUCCCCGGACUGCUCGUUGCCUCCGCUCCGACAGCUGCCGCUGCCGCCGCCUGUGACUCGCCCCCUCCCCUUUCUUUCUUCUCUUUUUUUUGCCUCCGUCCUCUUUCUCCGGGUGUGCGCGCGCGCGGAUUGCACGGUUUGCUUUGGCAGGAGCUCGCUCGUGUGUGCGCGUGUGUGAGUGUGCGUGUGUGGAGAGCGCCAGAGCCUUGCUCGCUCUCGGAGAGUCGAAGAAGAGAAAGAACCGAAGAGGCGGCGGCGGCGGCGGCGCGGAGCUCGGGGCCGCGCGAUGAAGCUCCCACAUGCCCGCAGCUGCCCGGCCCGGCCGGCGAGCUAAUCUGCCACCCCCCGGGCUCCGGGCUCCGCGACCCCCGGGACGCAGCCCUCGGCAGCCGGGCGCCCGCUCCGCCCGCGCGCCCCCACCGUGCACUCGGGAAGGAGUUUGCGUGGCCCUCGCUCCGGCUCUCGGCGCAGGUUGCGGGCGCCAGAGGAGACCCUCCGCGGGGAGAAAACCUCGGGAGAAGGAGGAGGGUUUGGCGGAGAAGAAGCCACCCCUGGCUGUCGCGGCUCCCCCUACCUAUUCCACUGCUCCCUUUCCCAAGCGGAAAGGGGAGGACGAGGAAGAAGAAGAAAAAGAAAGAGAAGGGGGUGGGGUGGGAGAACUGGAUAUAA
rnacentral:lncRNA from 1 species